rnacentral:lncRNA from 1 species
CCAUGUUGUUAUUUUUCCCUUGGUAAGGAGAUUAAGUAACUGGGAGGAAGGGCAUUGUGUUGGGAGAUUAAUGUGUCCAUCAGGGUUUCAAUGGAGAAUGGACAGCAUAUUCAAAUUGGGCAAUUCAGUAAUGACCAGGACUAUUUACAUUUAGUGGGCAGGGUUUUAACACUGUCCCAAGCCUACAGCAGAGAGGGUUCCUGGAGUCCAGAGAGAAAAAUGUGAAAGGGAAACCUUGUACAAGAGGUGCAGCCAGCUUGUGGGGGUGGGGGUGGGAUGGGACUCAAAGGAAAACACAGGACAGGAGGUAACUGUUCCCUGCCCAACUCCUGCAGGGGUCUCCCAGUGGCUAAGCAGAACCUAACCAGAAGCCAGAGGCUGUGAUGUACCCCUGGCAGGUCAGCUCUCCAGGGCACAGAGCAGAGGACAGGAGGACCUAGCAUGGUGGCAUGUUUCUUCUAGUGUGUAAGAAGAAUAGCCUUCACGUCCUGCAGUUGCUUCUCCGUGGCUAUCAUCAAUCUUGCUGGGUUGUUUUAAAGUCUGUUUGUCUCACUGGAAAUAUUCCAUGUAGUCAACCUUCUCAAGCUAAAUCCUUUGAGUGAACCUAGUGUUUCCGGCUGGAUCCUGAGAGAUACAAAUGGAAAAAUACUGACCUGACAGAACUUCGACCCUAGCCCAAGUUCAGUCACCUUGAGUCCCUGGACCACUCGGUAGAAAUAGAGAACAGGCUCCCUACAGUUGUUCUCUGACCUGCAGGUGUGUAAGUGACACGUGAGCAUCCCGG